UCAAAGAAAAUAUUUUUUAAAAGUGACCU
rnacentral:piRNA from 1 species